rnacentral:rRNA from 1 species
CAGUCGCCGCGGGAAUACGUAGGGUGCAAGCGUUAAUCGGAAUUACUGGGCGUAAAGCGUGCGCAGGCGGUUAUAUAAGACAGAUGUGAAAUCCCCGGGCUCAACCUGGGAACUGCAUUUGUGACUGUAUAGCUAGAGUACGGCAGAGGGGGAUGGAAUUCCGCGUGUAGCAGUGAAAUGCGUAGAUAUGCGGAGGAACACCGAUGGCGAAGGCAAUCCCCUGGGCCUGUACUGACGCUCAUGCACGAAAGCGUGGGGAGCAAACAGGAUUAGAUACCCCUGUAGUCCCUGUUUCUUAUAC